AUUGAACGCUGGCGGCAGGCCUAACACAUGCAAGUCGAGCGGAGCGGCGGACGGGUGAGUAACGCCUAGGAAUCUGCCUGGUAGUGGGGGAUAACGUCCGGAAACGGGCGCUAAUACCGCAUACUCUCCGAUGCGCCUAGGUCGGAUUAGCUAGUUGGUGGGGUAAAGGCCUACCAAGGCGACGAUCCGUAACUGGUCUGAGAGGAUGAUCAGUCACACUGGAACGGAGACACGGGCCAGGCUCAUGCGGGAGGCAGCAGUGGGGAAGAUUAGACAAUAGGCGAAGGCCUGAUACAGCCAUGACGCGUGUGUGAAGAAGGUCUUCGGAUUGUAAAGCACUUUAAGUUGGGAGGCGUUACCAACAGAAUAAGCUCAGGCUGACUUAGUGACAGCAGCCGCGGUAAUUC
rnacentral:rRNA from 1 species